AAAAACACUAAUAUGUUUCUUUUUUUGUUUAUUUUCAAUUUGAGAUUAAGGUUUGCUCAUCAGCAAUUGCUCCAUUUCUAUCAAUCGUGUCUUUGCCAAUUAGUGUUUUGAAUUUGUGAAGGUCAUCGACUAGAGUUUCUUCAACUUCAAGGGCUCCCCAACACCAACAUGAUCCUAUUAGACAAGAUGACAUGAAAGUUGAUAACAAUAGUCAACGAAAGACCAAAAGUUGGAUAACUUUGAAGGAAUUGUGGACACCACCUCUGAACGAGUGUAUUAUAGUGUUUGCAAACUCUAAUAGGCAACUAAUUGGUGAAGAGUGUUAACCGCUUGUUAGAUUUUUAGGAAUGAUAGCCCAUAAUGGCAUGAAAUUGCCUAUUCAUUACGAAACAUGGCAUAAAGUUUCAGUAGAAGUUAAGACUGAAACUUUAA